rnacentral:rRNA from 1 species
CCAGACUCCUACGGGAGGCAGCAGUAGGGAAUCUUCGGCAAUGGACGGAAGUCUGACCGAGCAGCGCCGCGUGAGUGAAGAAGGUUUUCGGAUCGUAAAGCUCUGUUGUAAGAGAAGAACGAGUGUGAGAGUGGAAAGUUCACACUGUGACGGUAUCUUACCAGAAAGGGACGGCUAACUACGUGCCAGCAGCCGCGGUAAUACGUAGGUCCCGAGCGUUGUCCGGAUUUAUUGGGCGUAAAGCGAGCGCAGGCGGUUAGAUAAGUCUGAAGUUAAAGGCUGUGGCUUAACCAUAGUACGCUUUGGAAACUGUUUAACUUGAGUGCAAGAGGGGAGAGUGGAAUUCCAUGUGUAGCGGUGAAAUGCGUAGAUAUAUGGAGGAACACCGGUGGCGAAAGCGGCUCUCUGGCUUGUAACUGACGCUGAGGCUCGAAAGCGUGGGGAGCAAACAGGAUUAGAUACCCUGGUAGUCCACGCCGUAAACGAUGAGUGCUAGGUGUUAGACCCUUUCCGGGGUUUAGUGCCGCAGCUAACGCAUUAAGCACUCCGCCUGGGGAGUACGACCGCAAGGUUGAAACUCACAGGAAUUGACGGGGGCCCGCACAAG